AGUGAACGCUGGCGGUAGGCCUAACACAUACAAGUCGAACGGCAGCACAGUAAGAGCUUGCUCUUACGGGUGGCGAGUGGCGGACGGGUGAGGAAUACAUCGGAAUCUACUUUUUCGUGGGGGAUAACGUAGGGAAACUUACGCUAAUACCGCAUACGACCUACGGGUGAAAGCAGGGGAUCUUCGGACCUUGCGCGAUUAAAUGAGCCGAUGUCGGAUUAGCUAGUUGGCGGGGUAAAGGCCCACCAAGGCGACGAUCCGUAGCUGGUCUGAGAGGAUGAUCAGCCACACUGGAACUGAGACACGGUCCAGACCCCUACGGGAGGCAGCAGUGGGGAAUAUUGGACAAUGGGCGCAAGCCUGAUCCAGCCAUACCGCGUGGGUGAAGAAGGCCUUCGGGUUGUAAAGCCCUUUUGUUGGGAAAGAAAAGCAGCAGGUUAAUACCCCGCUGUUCUGACGGUACCCAAAGAAUAAGCACCGGCUAACUUCGUG
rnacentral:rRNA from 1 species